rnacentral:rRNA from 1 species
GACGAACGCUGGCGGCGUGCUUAACACAUGCAAGUCGAACGGAAAGGCCCUGCUUUUGUGGGGUGCUCGAUUGGCGAACGGGUGAGUAACACGUGAGUAACCUGCCCUUGACUUUGGGAUAACUUCAGGAAACUGGGGCUAAUACCGUAUAGGAUCUCCUGCUGCAUGGUGGGGGUUGGAAAGUUUCGGCGGUUGGGGAUGGACUCGCGGCUUAUGAGCUUGUUGGUGGGGUAGUGGCUUACCAAGGCUUUGGCGGGUAGCCGGCCUGAGAGGGUGACCGGCCACAAUGGGACUGAGAUACGGCCCAGACUCCUACGGGAGGCAGCAGUGGGGAAUAUUGCACAAUGGGCGGAAGCCUGAUGCAGCAGCGCCGCGUGCGGGAUGACGGCCUUCGGGUUGUAAACCGCUUUCGCCUGUGACGAAGCGUGAGUGACGGUAAUGGGUAAAGAAGCACCGGCUAACUACGUG